CCUACGGGAGGCAGCAGUGAGGAAUAUUGGUCAAUGCGCGGGAGCCUGAACCAGCCAAGUCGCGUGAAGGAAGAAGGUACUUAGUAUUGUAAACUUCUUUUGUCGGGGAACAAAGGCGGAGACGCGUCUCCGGAUGAGUGUACCCGAAGCAAAAGCAUCGGCUAACUCCGUGCCAGCCGCCGCGGUAAUACGGAGGAUGCGAGCGUUAUCCGGAUUUAUUGGGUUUAAAGGGUGCGCAGGCGGGAGAUCAAGUCAGCGGUAAAAGGUCGGGGCUCAACCCCGGCCGGCCGUUGAACAUGGUUUUCUAGAGUUGGAGAGAAGUAUGCGGAAUUCGUGGUGUAGCGGUGAAAUGCAUAGAUAUCACGAAGAACUCCGAUUGCGAAGGCAGCAUACCGGCUCCAUACUGACGCUGAGGCACGAAAGCGUGGGGAUCGAACAGGAUUAGAUACCCCUGUAGUC
rnacentral:rRNA from 1 species